CCUAUUGGUUUUAUUUUCAUUUUAACUCUUUAGAUUAUGUUUCCCCAGCUGGCUUUGUGACUUUUUUUAAGCACAGUUGUAUAUUUUUCCUCCAAAUGGCCAAAACUAGGCUCUAUUCAAAUUUCUAACUACUCAUUAAAAUAUAAAUCAGCAUUUUUGUACCCUCUGUUAUAGCUCAAUACAAGAUACAGAACCACCCUAUUCUUUUAUUAUUAUUCUCUCCUAGCUACCCUUCUGAGCUGCCUAUCUUGACGAAAAAUAAAUUCCAAAAUGCUUUUUCCUUUUGUUUUUAGGAAAGGAAAGUAAAUAUUGCAUUUUGCAUCAAGGAUCCAUGAGUGCUCAUGAUUAUUGUUGGAGUUCUGGAUGGCUGCUAUAGUAACCAUUGAGUCCAACCCUUUUCUGUGUUUGGAUGAAUACAUUUGGUUUUUCAUUAUCCCUCUCUGUACAUUUCGAACAUAACCUUUUUGGCAGUUUAUGAUAAAGAAUAAUCCAAUGUGCAAAAUUAUUUCCCUUAUUUUGCUACAGGUGCUACUUGCUUGUGGGGUUACAAUACAUUAUAUUAUCAUUCAUUUAUUCCAUCUACCCAGUAAGAUUUGUUUACAUAAUUAAUUAUACAUUUUCACAAAAACAAGCUAAUCUAUCUAAAUACGUAUAUUCAAGUGAGGUAGGCAAUAUGUGGAAAAUGGAGACAGAGUGUGAUGCACGUUCAUCUUCACCUUGGCUCCCUACUUUUGCUACUUUGGACGCUAUUGGUGCUACCAAAACUUAAGAGGUGAAAAAGCAGGAGACUGUAAGCUGGGGAAGGAAAUCAAUUACUUCCAUAUUAAUUUCAUUUCGUGCAAGAGGUAAUAAUAGCUUAUCUUCUACCUUCAGCUUUAGAUAUGUCUUAAAUCUUGGGAA